ensembl:lncRNA
GGAGCUUGCACCGCAGGACUUAGAGGUACCCAGCGUCACGGCUUCAUUGCUCCAGACCACCACAAGGGGGAGUUAGAGCACUCAUUAUGCAUUUGGGUCCCAAGGUUUCUAUAUGAACAAUCAUAUCGAGUGGUUCCAAUGAUGAAUUUUGACGCGAGCCACCCUUGCCUUCAUGGCGUGCUUCAACAAAGAUGGCUGACAAAGCAUUAUGGUGGAGCCAGAUGGACUCCUGACAAAACCAGCACACCAGGCUAUCGUCUUGUGAAACAGUGAAUGCAAACCCAUCAUAGACAACAACACAGAUGCCAUCUAUGGGAGCAGAAAGACCAUCUGUGUGAUCAGCCGCUGCUACCGGAGAGUGAGUGGUGCUCCAGAGAGAUCCAGGUGGCCAGUUCUCCCAUGUCACUCCGCUCCUUUGCACUCUCCAUUGGCUCCCAGUAGCAGCUUGCAGCCAAAUCAACACCUUGGUUCUUGCCUACGGUGCAGCGAUGGGAACCUCUCCUCCCUACCUCCCGUAAGAGAUGUGUGUUGGUGGAUGAGUGGAGGAACUUGAGAGAAAGUUGAAACAGGGAUGCACUUCCAGAGAAAGGAUAAUGCAGUGAAUUUGGUCCACAUGGGAAUCGACUUUUGUAUUUUCUGUAUUUUAAAUACAAGAUAUUGUGUAUUUUAUUUGACACCAGUAUUUUGUCAUUUAUUCAGAUCAUUUGUUUGGGUGGUACUUUGUAACAAUAUACAUUUUGAUGGACACUACAUAACCAAAGGCUUCCAUCCUUCUCCCUGGACCUCCUUAAUAUCCACGUCUUGAACAUCAGACUCUGAGGCCUCAUCUUCACUGUCACUUUUCAACCUUGUUUACGAUGGCUCGUUGUCAGGCUCAAAAAGCCGC